AGAAUUUUUCCAGUUCCACUUUUCUUCCCUACAAAAAUUUCUCUUUAAAUCAGUGCACAUAGGGUUAGUGAAAUCAAUGAAAUAAAUUAAGGCAAAAAACAUUAAGGUCGUGCUGGCUCCCUUUUUUUCCUUGAUCAUAGAAAUCGAGUUCGACAUCCAUAUAAAGGCAUUGUAUGUGCAUGCAUGUGCCAAAAUUCUAAUCCAUCAGUAACUCAUAUUCCUGGAUUGUUCUUGUCAACAGAAACAUCCGUGAAAUAAAAACUUUCAUUCUACUAAUUAUAAAAACUACGUUGUUAUUAAAACUCAGUUCAAGAACAAAUCAAUCAUUUCUAUGCAUAGCACAUAUGAGAGAAAUUUCGAUGCAAACUACCCACAAAUAAGCCAUCCAUAUAACCAAAAUAAGCUUUGUUAGAGUCUACAAAUCAGACGCCUUUUUCUCUCAUCUAAAAGUACACUGUAACUCAAUGAACAAUGCAACACAUGAUGGAACAUUGAAAUUCAACCUUUUUCGUAAAAAAUUGUGCCAUAAGCCCAAAACAACUGGAAUGAAGAAAAAGAUAGUCCAUUUCUCGGUAAAAAAAGGUUUGCUAAUACUGUACAUACUGUCAAAUCUGAAUAUUGAAUAACGCUGCAAAACUUUGAUAAAAGUUUGAUGUUUUUAUUUUUAUAGAUGAAACCCCCUCAAAAUGUCUUCAAUAUGAACUCCAACCUCAAGUUUAAGUCUUGGCUAUAGCCUCUCUGCCUUGUAUCUACAAAUGGGUACAACUCUUAAAACAUUACGUUCAUGAUGUACACUUAAAUGUUGAGGGAAGUCCGCAUCAUAAACAUUCAUAACAAUCCACCAUGGAAACCUUUCCUUAGGUGGAAAACCAUCACCAAGCUCUCUUUUGCAAAAUUUUAGUUCAUCUUUUCUUUCUACCAAUUCCUUGAGCUUGGCAUUUGGCUCAUCAGACUGUCUCCUUUACUGAAUCGGCCAAGUUUCCUCCUUUGCAUUAAUGUUCCCAACUCGCCAAAUUGGCUCCUAGUUUUGUAUUAGAAUAGGCACCACAAUGACUAAGGCCAUCAGUAUAUGCUAGAACUCUGGAGGUCUGCUCAAACUAAUUUUAUGUGAAAGGAAUGAUUGACUUUGGUUCAAACCUAUACUACAGUUUAUUCUUCCCUUCUACCAAACAUUACCACAAAGUAUUUCUUCAACUUUUUGGUCACUGUUGCAACCCUAAAGAAACCACAGCCUUACCUUCCGAGGAAGACCCUUACCAAAUGCAGCACCUUGGCUCUCUCGUCUCUCCACUAUCCCACCCAACUCAAAGCAUACCCACUAAAUACCUAAGACCUCAUAAAUAUUACUCCAACACCCAAGGAAAAAAUAUUUAAGGUGUGAAAGUCCACAUGCCUUCAUUUCUCAAUAUCAUUGUCCGGCGCCACUUAAUACAUGUAAACAUUACAAUGGGUCUUUAUCUCUAUAUCAUGCAAAGAGUGAAAAGAAAAAGGGGAAAAAGAAAAUAAAACUGACUCAGAUAAUAAAAGAAAAAUGUUAUAAGUCAAUGGAUGGACACAAUUAUCCAUCCAAUAGUCUCGUACAAGAAAAAUGAUAGUGCAAAUCUGAAAUGGUUACUUCACCUAACUGCACAAUAUAAGAUCCAAAUAGGAGUUACAUUUUAAGUAGCUUUAGCUAUUUGUUGCAUUCAAAAGAUGUUAUGAGUAAGGAGAUUAUCAUAGGUUAAUAUAAUCUCAUACUUUUCCUUCACGUUUAAAUGUUAUACAAAUGAGAGUAUUGCUCUCACGUAUAGUGCUUUAAUUGUAUUGAAAUUUCCAGUUUCCACUUUAAAUUUGUUCAUUCUAUAGUUAUGUCUAAAGAUGGUACUUUUUUACUUCCUAGUUAUGGCAAAGGGAAGCAGCAAUGUUGAGGCAACAACUUCAAAACUUGCAAGAAAACCAUAGGUAUAAUGAUUUUCCUUUCUAUCAUGAAUACUUUGUAGCAUAUCAUAACCAAGAAACACUAUCAUUAGCAAAAGACGAUGAGAAAUAAAAGUUAAAAUUUCACAAUACAAUUGGGGUAUUUCGUUUCAUUUAGACUAGACUACAAGGCCUUGCCCCUUACACACGAGAAGUUAACACGCAAGUGUCUAAACACCAUUUUCACCAAAAAAAAUACAUUUUACUAAAGUUGUAUAAAAAGAGAAUUCAAUACUUGUAAAGGCAGCACAAUUGGCACUCGUGCACUCCAACUUUGUGUGUACAGGAAACACGAAAAUUUACAGAUGUCCAUUUUGAGGUUUAAAGUGCAUAGUAGCAUUAUCCAUUCAUAAAGGUGAACUAUCUUACUACGUCUAUCACCAAUUGCAUAUAUAAAAUUAAGACAUUAACGUUCACAGAGGCUUCAGAAGGUGCUAUACCAGGAAAUUACUUGCUGUUUGAAUAAUUCAAGGAGCCUGAGUGCACUUUAAUCAAAAUCAUAAGGCAAAAUUUUCCUAUAUAAAGAUUUCUUUGUUUUGCAUCUUCUGGGAGAAGCUUGAACUUUAGCUUCACCAGAAACUCUUUUCAAUUUCAACUAAAAUUCAACAGAAGAAAAACAUAUUAGCAGAUAAUGCACUUCUAUGGUGCAAGAGUGUGGUUUAGUGGUCUGAAGAGCUACACCAAACAGAGACUCAGGGUAGCUGGGUCAAAUUGGUAAUGAAGAACAUGAAUGUAUGAGAAACAAACUGACUCAAUGGAAGCCCUACUGAAGGUUUCAAAUUCUUCGACAAUAUGAGUACAGCCUGAUUUUCUUAAUAAAACUGUAACGGUGCCUUACUGACUUUAUUUUAAACAAAGUCUUCAUUUCUUACAAACACCAAAGAAUAAACAGCAGCUAGGGUUUGUACUCUUGCCUAAGUGAUCUUAGGUUCGAAUUGUAGUUUUGGAUUCUUUUGCUAUUUAAGUCUUAUUUAAGAAAACAUGCAGAAAGUAAAAGUGCUAGGGUGAGGGCAUGAACCUACUCCCUACAGGAAAACAAGAAAAAUAUCUAAACCCUGGUGCUUUGUCCAUAAUUUGUUAUUCUACUGCAAGCUGUGAUAUAUAUUAUACAAGUAUAUGAGAAAAAUAAAAUCAUGGGCCCUCCAAGACCAGGGCCUGUGCAGUGGCACUGCUUGGACACCCUCAGGCCCGGCCCUGCACAUGAUUUGUAGAACAAACAAUUAUAGAAGCUAUUUUGUUACUUAAGGGACUAGUGAAAGAGCUCAAAGAGAAAAAGAAUGAUCUUAUGUCGGUAUAGAUAUAGAAUAUAUGACAAGACUUGUAAAGGAGAAAAUUCUUGGUCAAGUUCUUAAUUUCUAAUGGUUUUUAUAAAGGUUUGGAUCUAGCUCUCAACCUUUCCUGCAGUGGUUAAUAAAAAUUUUUACAGGAACUGUUCACAUGGUGUACUUUGAUAUGCACACUUCUCAUGCUAAUUAAAUUAAAACAUUAAACAGCAAUGGGUGAACAAGUUGAUUGCUAGCUAAAACAAGCAACUAUGGAAGCUACUUUUUAAAACUAUGUCUAGUUGUUUAUAUAGGGUGCAGAAUGAUAAAAGAAAAUAAAAAGAUUACAAAACAAAAAUUUAUAAUAACUAUCAGUGUUUAUUUUGAUUAUUGAAGUUUUUUUUCAGUUUUUCUUUAGCCAAUUGUUGUUAAGUUUAUGAUAUUGAAGGACAUCUUAUGCUGCAUGCUUGCUUAUGCUAAAUCGAAAACUGUUGGUGAAAUAAAUUUUUGCCUUCCCAAAUUAUUUUUGUAUGACAUAUAUUUCUGCUAUUCCAAUUGUAUCACAACCCAGUGCUUUCCUUGAAAUACAAAAUCAUUUCCCGCAUAAAGCCAGAGAUAUUGCAUAUACAAUUUUUAGCUUUAUAUAUAAUGUCAAAAAUAAAUUAAAAGAUCCUAAAAAUGUUCAUAAUGCUAAUUCCAACUUAAUAAAGCACUCUAGUGAAGUCUUUUCUUAUCGGUGAAUGCACUGCAUUGAACCGAUUGGCAUGUUCCAUGAUGUUAUACUAGAUGUUAUACAAUGAGGGCGUGACAACUCUUCAUAACAAGUUAUUGAAUUUUCCCUAAGGAGUGACAUUGUUUAUACUCGUACAAGAUAGAGGACAAUACAGUGCUUAAAUAAUGGGAUUAGGUAUAGGUGAAAAUGAAGACAUAAUCUAGGAUAAAGAUGUUUGGCAUCAAACAGAAUUGCUAUGCAUCUCAUAAAUCCGCCUCACUACUGGGUUUAAGAUGUCCAAAGUCCAUUUUAGGGCCUAAACAAUGCUUCUCUCUCAAUGACUACAGGCAAAUGAUGGGAGAAGAGCUUUCUGGUCUGAGUGUGAAAGAUUUACAGAAUCUGGAGAACCAAUUGGAAACAAGUAUUCAGGCUGUCCGAAUGAAAAAGGUACGAACAGUCACUCAAUUUCUGAAAAUCAUCUAUUUACAUAAUGUUUCCCAUAGGGGUCUAAAUCACAAUUGUUACUUUUGUAGGACCAACUUUUAAUGGAUGAAAUAGAAGAACUAAACCGAAAGGGGAACGUCAUUCACCAAGAAAAUGUCCAUCUGUUUAAGAAGGUAAACCUACUUCGUGAAGAAAAUGUGGAGUUAUCUAAGAAGGUACUGGUUUUGAUAGCGUAAUAAACUUUAACUAUGCACGAAAGAGUAAUAAACUACAAUCCAACCUACAACAAAUUGCAAAAAUUUUCACAACGCCUCAACAGAAAAGUUUCACAUCCCAGGUUUAUGGAACAAUGGAUGUAAAUGAAGCCAACCAAAGUCCCAUUCUGACAAAUGGUCAAGGUAUCGAAGAGGACUCACAUGGACCUGUCCGUCUCCAGCUUAGCCAGCCACAGCAGCAAAACUACGAGCCAGCAGCAAGGGCUACAAAUCUGGGGUAUACCUCCUUCCUAAAACUAUAGUGUCUAUUAUGAUAAUCACUUGUAAGUUUUCAUUUUUUGAUCAAACUAUAUCCGUGACGACUACGGCAGACUACAACUACGCUAGCAAAGAAGAUGCAUCAGACUAGGAUGAUGUUACUUGAUUUCUCAAGAACAAGGCUGUUGGAUAAAAGUUAUGUUCUAUCACACUAAUGUCGUAAAAGAGCUGCAAAACAAUCAGCAAAAGGACCUUUAUUUGAAAACAAUGUUUUGAUGUGUGUGUGACAAUCAAAGAAACCAUCUACAUAUGUAAAGAUGAGAUUCAUAUAUAAUAAAGAAUAAUUGACUUGCACUUCAGGUGCACCGCAGCGUUUAGAAAUCUCUAAGUCUCUAUGUAUCUGUGGAACAAACAUGCUCUGAAACAUAUUGCAAUGUUUAUAUGCAUGUCGUCAAUUUUUGUACAACAAAACAUGUGAACAAAAGCAAUUGCUUUGACAAAAGAUGAA